CUAAGAAUCUUCCGCAAUGGGCGAAAGCCUGACGGAGCGACGCCGCGUGGACGAUGAAGGCCGAAAGGUUGUAAAGUCCUUUUCUCUGUGAAGAAUAAGGGUGCGAGGAAAUGCGCGCCUGAUGACGUUAGCAGAGGAAUAAGCCCCGGCUAAUUACGUGCC
rnacentral:rRNA from 1 species